ensembl:lncRNA
GAUCAGACCACACCAGCCGCGCGCGGAAUACAUCGCUCCCUGCGCUGGACCUCCGCACUGAAACCCAGUCACUUCUGUGCACACAAAUCUAUAGAUGUGCUGGAAAUUCACUCAAGCAGGUGGCGGUAAAUGUCCUCAUUCGAUUCAUUCAAACUACUGAUUAAUUCAGGAGUUAAGUAAAGGGAUCUCUUUAUGAAUGGGUCUUUGAAUCAUUGGUUCACACUAUUUGUUCAAAAAGCAGAUUCAUUCAGAACCUAAACACCGCUGUGUUGCUCGGAGAUGUACACCAAUUCUGCUAUGAUUUUAAAGACAGCAGCGUGUAACUGACCAGCCCCACAGGAGCACAACACGGACCCACUGCACUGGGACGAAGGAAGAGAGCAUUCACGGCACCAGAGCACCACCUGGACCUGUCUCUUUAUCACCCCCACUUGUAAAUAAAUCCACCCUCCAGGGCAUUUACUGAGC